GAGUUUGAUCCUGGCUCAGAUUGAACGCUGGCGGCAGGCCUAACACAUGCAAGUCGAGCGCGAAAACACUUCGGUGUGAGUAGAGCGGCGGACGGGUGAGUAAUGCUUGGGAAUCUGCCCAGUAGUGGGGGAUAACGUGUGGAAACGCACGCUAAUACCGCAUACGUCCUACGGGAGAAAGCAGGGGAUCUUCGGACCUUGCGCUAUUGGAUGAGCCCAAGUCAGAUUAGCUAGUUGGUGAGGUAAUGGCUCACCAAGGCGACGAUCUGUAGCUGGUCUGAGAGGAUGAUCAGCCACACUGGGACUGAGACACGGCCCAGACUCCUACGGGAGGCAGCAGUGGGGAAUAUUGCACAAUGGGCGAAAGCCUGAUGCAGCCAUGCCGCGUGUGUGAAGAAGGCUCUAGGGUUGUAAAGCACUUUCAGUGGGGAGGAAAAGUUUAAGAUUAAUACUCUUGAACCUUGACGUUACCUGCAGAAGAAGCACCGGCAAACUCCGUGCCAGCAGCCGCGGUAAUACGGAGGGUGCGAGCGUUAAUCGGAAUUACUGGGCGUAAAGCGCGCGUAGGUGGUUUGAUAAGCUAGCUGUGAAAGCCCCGGGCUCAACCUGGGAACUGCAGUUAGAACUGUCUGGCUAGAGUAUAGUAGAGGGUGGCGGAAUUUCCUGUGUAGCGGUGAAAUGCGUAGAUAUAGGAAGGAACAUCAGUGGCGAAGGCGGCCACCUGGACUAAUACUGACACUGAGGUGCGAAAGCGUGGGGGAGCAAACAGGAUUAGAUACCCUGGUAGUCCACGCCGUAAACGAUGUCUACUAGCCGUUGGGAGACUUGAUCUCUUAGUGGCGCAGUUAACGCGAUAAGUAGACCGCCUGGGGAGUACGGCGCAAGUUAAACUCAAUGACUUGACGGGGGCCGCACAAGCGUGGAGCAUGUGGUUAAUUCGAGCACGSCAGA
rnacentral:rRNA from 1 species